rnacentral:misc_RNA from 1 species
GUGAAUCAUCGAAUUUUUGAACGCAAAUUGCACUUUCUGGUAUUCCGGGGAGUAUGCCUGUUUUAGGGUCAGUAUAAAUAAAAAUCGGUGUGGUUGCUGCCGUUCGUGGUGGCGAAGCGGAUUUGGGUUGUCUGGCCUUGGGUUUAUUGGAAUAAAAUUUUACAUGAUUUUUUUGGUACGUAUUUUAAUUGUUUUAGUGAAGUUUGCGGUAUCUAAUACUAGGUUUGGUCA